CUCGCCAUUAGCGACAUCAUCCACGCUGGGCUCGUGCAUCCCGUGCAAAUAAGAAAAAGUUUGCGCUUAGACAAAAACUUCUAUGGAGAUGAUGCACUAUGUAAGAUCAUCAUGGUGGUUCCAUUACUGAUUGUUUUGUCUGCGAUUUACACCAUUGUAACCAUGGCAAUCGACAGAUAUAGAGCAGUGGUAAAGAGAAUAGUCAUCAGCCGCAGGACUGCCAUUUACGCUGUAUUGUGUGUAUGGGUAUUGUCAUUCAUCGUAUCAUCGCCGCAGAUUUACGAAUACAGCCUUUACCUUGACCACGAGGCGAAUAAUGAAACCUAUAUAUCGUGUGGAUCAGAAGGAAUAGUGGAACAUUUUGAAACCAUUUACGCCGCUAUUGUUGUAUGUAUUGCGUACAUCAUUCCAUUUGGACUUGUCAUUGGUUGCUACGCAGGACUAGGCGUUUACGUUCAUAGACAUGCGUCAAAAAUCAGAGCCCAAAUGAAUACAUUUUCAACAACAGCAUCGGGUUCAAAUGCUCCGUCUCAGAGGAACCAAACGCUGUCACCAAGGAUGAUAAAAAUGAUUAAAAUGCUUAUUGCCUUGACAAUUACAUUCCUAAUUAUGUGGACACCAUAUUUCGUCAUAUUCGCAAUAAACGAAAUAACUGGACUGGAUGAUACGGCGUACUACGUUGAAUGGCCACAUGUCGCCAGCAGAACUAUGAAUUUGUUAAGCUCCGUCACGAACCCGAUCUUGUAUCUCGCCUUUAGCGAGAUUUUUCAAGAUAUUGUAAGGAACUGGUUUAGAUGUUUCAAGAAAGUAGAAGCACAGGUCACGUUCGGACAAACUAGUCAGUCCCGGAGCUUUAAUACAAAUAAGGUGGCGCCAGCUGAUUCGACGAUAUCGAAUGUAUUAAAUGUACAUUCAUUGGAAAAUAUAGAAUAGUUAUGACAAAACGCUUGUUCACAAAGCUUAUUUGUUACAAAUUAAUUUAAUAUGGUAUAAGGCAGUUCGAUACUAUUGAGAUAACGAUGGCGCAGUGGGCUUAAGGUUAAAAAGGUGUGUGCAGGAUAAUUAUAUGUCAUAUCUUCUACCUUUGACCAUUACUUGGUAUUGUAAUGUGUAUGCAUGAGAGCAAAUAACUAGAUAACAAAACAUGUGUGUAUCAUUAUUUUCAUAAUUACCGAUAAAGUUUUGUAUGAAUCGACAUUUUGUCAGCGAUUUUGAGACGUAUGGGAUGUAUACGUUGUGUAAAGCUAUUGAUAUUGUUUUUAGUAUAAGUUGUGUAAAGUUAUUGAUAUUGUUUUAAGUGCAUUUAAUAGAAUAACAUUAAAUUGAUGUUUAAAAUUUUCGAUGUAGCGUAUUCAUGUUUGAAUAAGCAAAUGAUACUUCAUUCGCAGUUAUAUGGCAGUUCUAUGACAAAAUGAACAUUGCAAGAAAUUGUAUUUCAACAUUUCUUGUUUUCGGAACGUGCCUCUUUGUUACUUUUAUAACCAUAUUAUGUGAACACAUUAUCAAGUGUGUUUAAUUUGGUACGUUAAAAGUUCUAACGUGAGUUUCUUAUCGAUAAAUGAAAUUAAUUUAACGUAAUAACAGCAUGACAAUAAUAUGUUUAGCAUAUUAGUGUUUUAAUAUAGUUUUAAGUAGAACGAAUGUGCUUUUAAUUUCUCGAUACAAAAAAGAAGCAUUGUUUAUCAAAUAAAGUAGUUAUACAUGAUAAUUGUCAGAAAGUGUUUGAAUAAGUUAUGUAACUACAAUAAACUGUUAGGAGGAUCAUGUUGCGAUAUUACAUCACAACACAAGACACUAUGGAUAUAUAGUUCUUUAUGUUGACAUGCUCCUAAUGUAUAUUUUAGGCGUUAUAAUAAUAGAAGAGGUUGUGGAAGGGUAUACCAGGACAAAAUUGGAACAGAUUUGAAACUUAUAUUUUCUGAAAGGUUAUAGCUUGAAGAUGUUGAAAUCACAAAGUUCCCGAAAAUUCCCAUCCGGGAAACCUCAAAAUCGAAGAUGGCGUUCAAGAUGGCGUCUAUUUUGAUACUUUGAGCACUUAUUAUGUUUGUCUGUUAAAGUCUAAUUCUGUUUGUGUCUAAAUCUUUUGAAAUAAGGAUAUAAUAGCAUA